rnacentral:ncRNA from 24 species
UAUGCUGGUGUAAAGACGCCAGUAAGUGGAUUGCUAGGCUUGAGGAGAGAUGAAGGACGUGGCAAGCUGCGAUAAGCCCGGGGUAGGCGCACGCGACCUUUGAUCCCGGGAUGUCCGAAUGAGAAUCUUGUUUUUUAAACACUCCGUUGCAAUGGCAGCGGAGAUCGAACCGUCGGAAUUGAAGCAUCUUAGUACGACGAGGAAAAGAAAUCAAUUGAGAUUUCCCAAGUAGUGGCGAACGAAACGGAAAUAGCCCAAACCGAAUCUGUUAUGGUAACAUAUCAGAGAUGUGGUGUUUUGGUUAUGAUAUUACGAUCCUAGAAUACAGCUGAAGUGUUCUGGAACGUACCGGCGAAGUGGGUGAUACCCCCGUAAGCGAAGUAGUAUAGGAUCUUAUCAUGACCCGAGUAGCUGUCCUUGGCAGUGGGCAGUGAAUAUAGGUGAAAGUAGUAUCUUAGGCUAAAUAUUUCUCAAGACCGAUAGUGAACUAGUACCGUGAGGGAAAGCUGAAAAGAACCCCGGAAGGGGGCUGAAAAGCGCAUGAAACUUACUGGUUACAGACGUGCAUGGCAUGAAAGGUGAUUUUUUCAUACUGGAGGUUCUAGCAAUAGAGCUAAAGGUUUGGAGGUCAAAUCAUCAGUGUCAUGCGUUCCGUCUCGAAACACGGGCCAGGGAGCUUAUUGUCAUGGCAAGUCUAAGCCCUUAAAGGUGAAGGCGAAGGGAAACCGAGUUCUCGCAACUUUUGUGAGGAGAAGCGUGUGAAAGUGCGUUGAGUCAUGGCGGUAAGGCUAGAAGCCAGUCGAUCUAUUCCUGAGCAAGCUGAAGGUGGGCGAAAGCCCGCUGGAAGGCUGUAGCAGUUCUGACGUGCAAAUCGUUUGUGUGACUUGGGAAUAGGGGUCAAGAACCAAUCUAGACUGGCGAUCGCUAGUUCCAACCGAAGCGUCUCGCAGGGCGUCCUCUGUGGAGAUAGCAUUUCCUGUAGAGCACUGAUCUUUUGGUAUGGGGGAGAAAUCCCUCGCCAUCAUUUCAAACUCCGAAUGGAUAUGCAUCGUAGAAGCGGGGAGACGGGUUCGUGUGACGUAAGGUUCACGACCGAAAGGGGUUUAACCCAGACUGAAGUUAAGGUCCCCAAAUUUUUGCUAAGUGUCAAGCCAAAGGGCGUGUUCGCGCCAAGACAGCAGGGAGGUAAGCUUAGAAGCAGCUAUCCUUUAAAAAGUGUGUAACAACUUACCUGCCGAGCGUGGGCGCCCCGAAAACGGACGGGGCUAAAGCAAAGUACCGAUACUUCAGAUACUUGUUAAUUUACAAGUCAUGGUAGGUUGGCGUAGUGAUUGGGUCGAAGCAGGGCAGUGAUGUCCUGUGGACCGAUUUCUAUUGCAGAUCCUGGUGGCAGUAACAGCAUAGUAGAGUGAGAACCUCUACCACCGCAAGCGCAAGGGUUUCCAGGCAAUGCGUUAUCAGCCUGGAGUUAGUCGAUCCUAAAAAUUACCUCAACAGAGUAAUUUGAAUGGGAAACUGGUUAAUAUUCCAGUACCUUGCAAACACGUUAUCAUCUAUAUGAUUUGCUUCUAGAUAGGGAAUGUAGAACCAUCGUUUUAUCUAACUGUUCAAGAUUCAGGGAGUGUCGUAAUGACGAGAACUGAUUUGAGGCAGGAAUGGCUUUGCGUUAGCAGAGUUUUCCCAAAUCCAGGAGACCUUGAAAGCUCGUAUAGAAAGUGUUUGUGAUGAUCGUACCGAGAACCGACACAGGUGCGCUGGCUUAGAAAGCUAAGGUGCUACGGGUAUACCGUAUGGCGAGGGAAUUCGGCAAAUUAGUCCUGUAGCUUCGGUAUAAGGGAUGCCUGCUGUUUUAAUGAGGAAUUGGGACAGCAGGUUGCAAUGACUAGGGGGUUCCGACUGUUUAAUAAAAACACAGGUGACUGCUAGUCCGAAAGGAUUUGUAUAGUCACUGAAUCCUGGCCGGUGCAGGUACCUAAAACUUGGGUUCAACCGAGCUAAGGGCCUGUUAACGCCGGGAGUAACUCUGACUCUCUUAAGGUAGCCAAAUGCCUUGUCGGGUAAGUUCCGACGCGCAUGAAUGGAACAACGAGAGCCCCACUGUCCCCGCCUACAACCCGGUGAAGCCACAUAAGGUGGACGAACAGUCCAUCAUCUUCCAUCGGGGAGAGAAGACCCCGUGGAGUUUUACUGCAGCUUGUGCUUGUAGUAUAGUAAGAAUUACAUAGUGUAUCUGGUAGCCAUGCCUGAAUUUCUUUGGGAAUUCAGUGAAGCGACGAUGUAACACCAGAUUAUUCUUGCAGUACUUCUUAUCUGAUGCAAAUCAGAAACAGGUGCUGGUAGGCAGUUCGGCUGGGGCGGCACCCCUUUGAAAAGAUAUCAAAGGGGCCCAAAGUUUAGUUCAAACGGGUCAGAAAUCCGUUGAAGAGGGCAAAGCCAAAAACUAGACUGACAGGAUUUCCAAACGCACGGAAUUCUGAGACGAAAGUCUGGCUUAGCGAUCCUUCGUGUGCCCACUAUUGGGGCCCGGAGGUGACAGAAAAAUUACCCCAGGGAUAACAGGCUCGUCGCGGGCGAGAGCUCCUAUCGACCCCGCGGUUUGGUACCUCGAUGUCGGCUUUUCCUAUCCUGGUCCUGCAGCAGGGGCCAAGGGUGAGGCUGCUCGCCUAUUAAAAGGGAACAUGAGCUGGGUUUAGACCGUCGUGAGACAGGUCGGUCUCUGCCUGAUGGAAGCGCGGCUGUCUGAGGGGAAGUUGCUCUCAGUACGAGAGGAACAGAGCAACGUGGCCACUGGUCUACCGGUUGUCUGAUAAGGCAGGCCGGGCAGCUAAGCCGUUUGGAUUAAGUGCUGAAAGCAUCUAAGCACGAAACCCAUCCCGAGACAAGACAGCCUUUCGUAAGAUGAAGGUUCGCAGAAGAAGACUGCGUUGAUAGGAUGGAUGUGUAGAUCACAAGCUUCGGCGAGUGAUGAGCAUGCCAUUACUAAUAGACCAACACAUCAGCACG